CGCACAUUGCGCCUGCUGGUAUUCCGGUAGGCAUGCCUGUUUGAGCGUCAGCACAACCCCUCAGCAUGAAAUUUUUUAUGUUGGUUAUGGGCAUGUGGAGGAUGAGCCUAAACCGCUUGCUCCCGCCUUAAACUUGCUGCACGACCGCGAGCUAAAAGCUAGGUUAAUGGAGUGGUGUUUACAUAUAUUCCAGCAUCUGCCGAUAGCUCUGUGGCGUUAAACGCGAUGUUACCCCCCCCAGGUGACUGAAGUUUGACCUCAAAUCAGACAAGGAUACCCGCUGAACUUAA
rnacentral:misc_RNA from 1 species